rfam:Janthinobacterium sp. KBS0711 VM94_contig000028, whole genome shotgun sequence.
GCCCACGUGGCGGAAUUGGUAGACGCGCAUGGUUCAGGUCCAUGUGCCUUCGGGUGUAGGGGUUCGAGUCCCUUCGUGGGCA